rnacentral:rRNA from 1 species
AUUGAACGCUGGCGGCAGGCCUAACACAUGCAAGUCGAGCGAGCGGCGGACGGGUGAGUAAUGUAUGGGAAUCUGCCCGAUAGAGGGGGAUAACUACUGGAAACGUUGGCUAAUACCGCAUACUAUCCGAUGAGCCCAUAUGGGAUUAGCUAGUAGGUGGGGUAAAGGCUCACCUAGGCGACGAUCUCUAGCUGGUCUGAGAGGAGGAAAAGCAACACUGGGACGGAGACACGGCCCAGACUCCUACGGGAGGCAGCAGUGGGGAAUAGUGCACAAUGGGCGCAAGACUGAUGCAGCCAUGCCGCGUGUAUGAAGAAGGCCUUAGGGUUGUAAAGUACUUUCAGCGGGGAGGCGUUACCCGCAGAAGAAGCACCGGCUAACUCCGUGCCAGCAGCCGCGGUAAUUC